UGCUCUACACCCUUUGUGACAUACCUAUAACUGUUGCUUCGGCGGGCAGGGUCUCCGUGACCCUCCCGGCCUCCCGCCCCCGGGCGGGUCGGCGCCCGCCGGAGGAUAACCAAACUCUGAUUUAACGACGUUUCUUCUGAGUGGUACAAGCAAAUAAUCAAAACUUUUAACAACGGAUCUCUUGGUUCUGGCAUCGAUGAAGAACGCAGCGAAAUGCGAUAAGUAAUGUGAAUUGCAGAAUUCAGUGAAUCAUCGAAUCUUUGAACGCACAUUGCGCCCGCCAGCAUUCUGGCGGGCAUGCCUGUUCGAGCGUCAUUUCAACCCUCAAGCUCUGCUUGGUGUUGGGGCCCUACAGCUGAUGUAGGCCCUCAAAGGUAGUGGCGGACCCUCCCGGAGCCUCCUUUGCGUAGUAACUUUACGUCUCGCACUGGGAUCCGGAGGGACUCUUGCCGUAAAACCCCCAAUUUUCCAAAGGUUGACCUCGGAUCAGGUAGGAAUACCCGCUGAACUUAAGCAUAUCAAAAGCCCGAAGGAAA
rnacentral:rRNA from 1 species